GAGUAACACUACUGGGAAUAUUGGUUGCUUCUGUACAACUCUUCAUAUAUACUGUUAUUAUUACUUCUUCUUUACUUAAAAGGGCUCCAAAAGAACCUGAUGAAAAUUAAAGAUGCUGUAUAAAAUAACUAAAAAUAUUAUGAUUUAUGUAAAAUUAUUGUUUUGAUGAAGAUAUUGUGUUUGUUGUCCGAACUUUAUUACAAUGUAGCUUAUUUUUCUUCCUAAAUGUAUUGAGAAAUAAAUGUUAAUUUUUUAA